AGAGUAAAACAGUACGUGAAAUUGUUGAAACGGAAACGAUUGAAGCCAGUCGUACCAGCGGAUAAUCAACCUUUAGAUGCGAUUUUAUGGAGUGUGAGGAGCUAAUCGCCUUCAUGCCUGUAUAUUCGUAUACUUGGGGUGUACUUAUUCGUGUGGUAAGUUAACAUCAAUUUUGGUUGUCAUAAAAUGAUUGGAGGAAUGUAGCUUCGAUCUCGUAUUGAAGUGUUAUAGCCUUUGGUAGAUGUGAUGAUCGGGAUUGAGGAUUGCAACGGAUACCCUUCGGGGCUACCUGUCUGAUCUCUGAUUGUUGCUCUGGUGCUGAAAGCUUUCUUAUAGUUAUCAAAGUCGAUGGUCAAUAGGUUAGAAUGGGUUAAAUUCGUUAAGGAUGUUGACGUAAUGGCUUUAAACGACC
rnacentral:ncRNA from 2 species